CUCCCCAGCCAAGACCGGGCUCAGGGCAGCUAACACUGGCGAUUUUAUACCAGUGUUAGCUGCCCUGAGCCCGGUCUUGGCUGGGGAG